UACGAAGGGGGCUAGCGUUACUCGGAUUGACUGGGCGUAAAGGGCGCGUAGGCGGUUUGUACAGUCAGACGUGAAAUUCCUGGGCUCAACCUGGGGGCUGCGUUUGAUACGUGCAGACUUGAGUUCGAAAGAGGGUCGUGGAAUUCCCAGUGUAGAGGUGAAAUUCGUAGAUAUUGGGAAGAACACCGGUGGCGAAGGCGGCGACCUGGUCCUUGACUGACGCUGAGGCGCGAAAGCGUGGGGAGCAAACAGG
rnacentral:rRNA from 1 species